AAUGUCGUUAUUGUCGAGGUGUACUACGCAUCGGCGGCCAACCAGACCGUGUGGACGGAGCCCUCCUACACCGGAGAGGACCUCAUCUGUGACAUCGGUGGUUUGAUGGGAGCCUUCGCCGGAGCCAGUCUACUCACCAUCCUAGAAGUCCUCGUCUUCGCGCGACCCAAACGCCACCUGGUGGGCGACAGCGGAACCACGCAGACUAUUGCCGUUAAAAGCGCAAAAGCAGUCCAAACCACUCACCGCGCCGACUCCAAAGCGCCGACAGAAUAACGGAACAUUAUUCAUUUACUGCGCGUCGUGUUUGUGUGUGCAUUUGCAAUAAUUCAUCGCUAUUUCAUCGCGCAAUAUUUUAUCAUAACGGUGUGAGGAAGAUGAAUGAUGAUAGAAAUGAUGAUUUAGUCUUUAUAUGUAGAGAGCACCUGCGCUGUGUACAAAGAACACAAUACUGAGUGUCAACAUCGGCCAGAAUAAAAUCGAUAGGCGAGACCUGGGUGGCGCCCGUUAGAGAGAAACGUA